rnacentral:rRNA from 1 species
CCUACGGGUGGCAGCAGUGAGGAAUAUUGGUCAAUGGACGAGAGUCUGAACCAGCCAAGUAGCGUGAAGGAUGACUGCCCUAUGGGUUGUAAACUUCUUUUAUAAAGGAAUAAAACGAGGCACGUGUGCCUUUUUGCAUGUACUUUAUGAAUAAGGAUCGGCUAACUCCGUGCCAGCAGCCGCGGUAAUACGGAGGAUCCGAGCGUUAUCCGGAUUUAUUGGGUUUAAAGGGGGCGUAGAUGGGUUGUUAAGUCAGUUGUGAAAGUUUGCGGCUCAACCGUAAAAUUGCAAUUGAUACUGGCAGUCUUGAGUACAGUUGAGGUAGGCGGAAUUCGUGGUGUAGCGGUGAAAUGCUUAGAUAUCACGAAGAACCCAGAUUGCGAAGGCAGCUUACUAAACUGUGACUGACAUUGAUGCUCGAAAGUGUGGGUAUCGAACAGGAUUAGAUACCCGUGUAGUC